rnacentral:rRNA from 1 species
AUUGAACGCUGGCGGCAGGCCUAACACAUGCAAGUCGAGCGGAUGAAGGGAGCUUGCUCCUGGAUUCAGCGGCGGACGGGUGAGUAAUGCCUAGGAAUCUGCCUGGUAGUGGGGGAUUACGUCCGGAAACGGGCGCUAAUACCGCAUACGUCCUGAGGGAGAAAGUGGGGGAUCUUCGGACCUCACGCUAUCAGAUGAGCCUAGGUCGGAUUAGCUAGUUGGUGGGGUAAAGGCCUACCAAGGCGACGAUCCGUAACUGGUCUGAGUGGAUGACCAGUCACACUGGAACUGAGACACGGUCCAGACUCCUACGGGAGGCAGCAGUAGGGAAUAUUGGACCAUGGGCGAAAGCCUGAUGCAGCCAUGCCGCGUGUGUGAAGAAGGUCUUCGGAUUGUAAAGCACUUUAAGUUGGGAGGAAGGACAGUAAGUUAAUACCUGGCUGUUUUGACGGUACCUACAGAAUAAGCACCGGCUAACUUCGUG